rnacentral:rRNA from 1 species
UACGAAGGGGGCUAGCGUUGUUCGGAUUUACUGGGCGUAAAGCGCACGUAGGCGGAUCGAUCAGUCAGGGGUGAAAUCCCAGAGCUCAACUCUGGAACUGCCUUUGAUACUGUCGAUCUGGAGUAUGGAAGAGGUGAGUGGAAUUCCGAGUGUAGAGGUGAAAUUCGUAGAUAUCGGGAGGAACACCGGUGGCGAAGGCGGCGACCUGGGUCGAGACUGACGCUGAGGCGCGAAAGCGUGGGGAGCAAACAGG